rnacentral:rRNA from 1 species
GAUGAACGCUGGCGGCGUGCCUAAUACAUGCCAGUCGAGCGAACAGACGAGGAGCUUGCUCCUCUGACGUUAGCGGCGGACGGGUGAGUAACACGUGGAUAACCUACCUAUAAGACUGGGAUAACUUCGGGAAACCGGAGCUAAUACCGGAUAAUAUAUUGAACCGCAUGGUUCAAUAGUGAAAGACGGUUUUGCUGUCACUUAUAGAUGGAUCCGCGCCGCAUUAGAUAGUUGGUAAGGUAACGGCUUACCAAGGCGACGAUGCGUAGCCGACCUGAGAGAGUGAUCGGCCACACUGGAACUGAGACACGGUCCAGACUCCUACGGGAGGCAGCAGUAGGGAAUCUUCCGCAAUGGGCGAAAGCCUGACGGAGCAACGCCGCGUGAGUGAUGAAGGUCUUCGGAUCGUAAAACUCUGUUAUUAGGGAAGAACAAAUGUGUAAGUAACUAUGCACGUCUUGACGGUACCUAAUCAGAAAGCCACGGCUAACUACGUG